rnacentral:rRNA from 1 species
CCCUGCAGUGGGGAAUAACUCUGCGAAAGCAGAGCUAAUUCCGCAUACGCUCAAGCGAGCAUACGCUUGAGGAAAGCGCAAGUGCUGCAGGAGGGGCCUGCGCCAGAUUAGCUAGUCGGUGGGGUAAAAGCCUACCGAGGCGACGAUCUGUAGCUGGUCUGAGAGGAUGAUCAGCCACACUGGGACUGAGACACGGCCCAG